rnacentral:rRNA from 1 species
CGCCUUAAUACGGCGAAACCGCGAAUGGCUCAUUAAAUCAGCUAUGGUUUAUUGGAUCGUACCCGUCAAAUGGAUAACUGUAAUAACUCUAGAGCUAAUACAUGCCACGAAGCCCUGACUUGUGUCGCCUCGCGCGGUGCAGGGAUGGGUGCUCUUAUUAGAUCAGAAACCAACCGAGUGGUGGCCAGCUUGCUGGUCAUGGCUUGUUGUCGUUCUGGUGACUCUGGAUAAUUGUUACAGAUCGCAGUCGGCCUUGAGUCGGCGACGGGUCCUUCAAAUGUCUGCCCUAUCAACUUUCGAUGGUAGGCAAUCUGCCUACCAUGGUGAUAACGGGUAACGGGGAAUCAGGGUUCGAUUCCGGAGAGGGAGCCUGAGAAACGGCUACCACUUCCAAGGAAGGCAGCAGGCGCGCAAAUUACCCACUCCCGGUACGGGGAGGUGGUGACGAAAAAUACCGAUGCGGGACUCUUCAAGAGGCUCCGUAAUCGGAAUGAGUGAACUCUAAAUCCUUUCACGAGGAUCAAUUGGAGGGCAAGUCUGGUGCCAGCAGCCGCGGUAACUCCAGCUCCAAUAGCGUAUAUUAAAGUUGCUGCAGUUAAAAAGCUCGUAGUUGGAUCUCGGUUGCACUGUUGCCCGCCAUUGCUUGGCCAGAUGGGUGCCGGGUGAUGCAUUGGCCGAGUGCCGUGUUCGCCGUCGGUGUCUGACUGUUGUCGAGUUGGUGUGGUGUCGGUGUCACCUUUUAGCCAUGUCUGUGGUGCAAUACCCACAGGUGUAGGCGAGUGUCGGGCGGUGCCUUGCACACGUAGGGUCCGUCGGCUCGUCUGCAUGCCUUUGGAUGCCCUUCAAAAGGUGUCUGUGGGCGGAUGGCACGUUUACUUUGAACAAAUUUGAGUGCUCAAACCAGGCCGCUGUAGCCUGAAAAGUUUUGCAUGGAAUAAUGGAAUAGGACUUCGGUUCUAUUUUGUUGGUUUUCGGAUCCGAAGUAAUGAUCAAAAGAGACAGGCGGGGACGUUUGUAUGGUUGCGCUAGAGGUGAAAUUCAUGGACCGUAACCAGACAGACUAAAGCGAAAGCAUUCGUCAAGCAU